CCAAGCUGACUUCUUUAUAUGAAGGUGAAAAAUGCGGAAGGCAUGGAUGGGAACACAAGGGCUUAGAGUAGGUUCGAGAAAGCAGAGGUGCUGAGUGGAAGGAAUUUGACAAAACCUGUUCAGGCAACUAUUUAUUUAAAACCCAAGUAUUGAGAAGGGAAAAAAAGAUGAAGCAAUACAUGUUUUGACAUGAAGACAACAUGACUUUGUAGAUGACACUAUGGGAGCAUAUACAUAUGAUCCACGGACACAAAGACCUUCAAAAGAAAUAAAACAACCAGAGAUGAAAAAUCCAGACUGGACUUACAAGAGAACUCAGCUAAAAGAAGUCACAGUUUGGGAUGUGGCAGAUGGCAAGAAUAAGAACUUCGGUGGAAACACCUGAUGCUUCCUGAAGUAUCUUCCCUGCCCACUAGUAUUCCAUUGUCUGCAUGCAUCUGAAGCUGGGUGUAUAUGCCUGUCAAAGAAGACAUGGGCAAGUCCCCUGACAAGGGGCAGGAAAAUACAAUUCACUCUUUCAGGUGAUGGAGAGCAGGAGUAAGUCAUGAUAAAUUAAAGUACAAUCUACCUAACUGGUGAAAAACAGUUUUUUUUCCCCUCAUACUUUCCUUGUCUGCAAUAUUUGAAUUUUCUUUAUCCAUACUUGCAUUAGCUAGAAAGAUCUUUGUCUCCACUAAGUGGUUUCAUGCAACAAGAAAACACAGCAUUUUAUUUAAUGAAAUUCCUGGAGGAGUGCAAUCUAGACUGAGCAUGUCAGAGCUGUAUCUUUGCAUUCUUGGGAACUCUGUCUUCUGCUUGAGUCGGAUUUGUUCUCAUACUGGCUUCACUCAUGGCUGGUAGAUGGCUGCCAGUGAUAAUUAUUACUGCAUGUUGCCUUAUCAUAUCUAAAAACGCUAUUCUCAUUCAGAAGUAUAAAAUCUUCCCUUCAACAUGAUCAGGCCAACAUAGGAAAUGAGAAGCUCCUGGACCAAUGUUAAUUGCUAAGGGAAUUCAUUUGUCUGGGUGGUCUAGACCAAUCAUCUGGGGCAGAAAGGAUGCUGAAGAGUCAACCACAACGUUCACAACAUCAUAACUCUACAUCUCCUUCUCUUACCUCUUCCUGAGGUUAGAUACACACGUGUGAUUUCAUUGGUGUGCAUAUGUAUGCAGCUCCACAUUGCUUACAGUCUUCUGUUCUUUAAGCUCAUUUUCUUGGUAUCAAUCCACUUGGAAGACACUGUCAUGCCAUCUCUUUUCUUUGGUUCAAGUUCAAGAUUCCAAUGACUAGUUGUACAACUCUAUAUGAAUCUCCUGCUGGAAACUAAUCUCUUUAACCUGUCUUUAACUGCAGCUUCUCCUCUUGACUUU
rnacentral:lncRNA from 1 species